AGGACGAACGCUGGCGGCGUGCUUAACACAUGCAAGUCGAGCGGUAAGGCUCCUUCGGGAGUACACGAGCGGCGAACGGGUGAGUAACACGUGAGCAAUCUGCCCUUCACUUUGGGAUAACACCGGGAAACCGGUGCUAAUACCGAAUACGACCACCUCAGGCAUCUGAUGGUGGUGGAAAGUUCCGGCGGUGGAGGAUGAGCUCGCGGCCUAUCAGCUUGUUGGUGAGGUAAUGGCCCACCAAGGCUUCGGACGGGUAGCCGGCCUGAGAGGGUGACCCGGCCA
rnacentral:rRNA from 1 species